rnacentral:lncRNA from 1 species
UCGGGGCGGGUUCGGCUCCGCCGCUCCUCCCCGGGCAGCGCCGGUGCCGCCUCCCUGCGGAGCCCUCGGGGACGGCAGGACAGGGCCAGCCCUGCUCGGAGCCACAUCCCCACCCCUGUAAAGGUGUCACAGCCGGGUGUGGGGUCAGACCCCCGAUCCCGGCCGGGUGUGGGGGUGUCAGACCCCCGAUCCCGGCCGGGUGUGGGGGUGUCAGACCCCCGAUCCCGGCCUCUCUCGCCCCCGCAGCCGCUGUCGGCCCGGGAUGCCCGCGGGAGGAUCCUGGGCUACGCCGUGAGCGCCGAGAGCGCCGCGGGAGCGCUGUGGCCGCUGUGCCUCACCGCGGGCACCGAGUGCUCGGUGCUGGUGCCGCCCGGAGCCCGCAGCCUCCUCGUCACCGCCCGCAACGCCAAGGGCGCCUCCAGCCCCGCCAGCAUCCCCCUGAACUGGGCGGCAGCGCCGCAAGAGUUCCCGGCCCCGGAGGCGCUGGAGGUGCAGCAGGAGCAGCAGAGCAGGGUCCUGGUGCGGUGGCAGCGCCCCCAGCCCAGCCAGAGCCCCCUGCUCUGGUUCAUCCUGGAGUGGCUGUCGGGCCCCCAGCACGGCCUGCAGGAGCAGCACAGCUGGGAGAGAAUCCCAAAACACCAAACUCACACCUACAUCCCAGGUAGGACAGCCAGGAACCCCCUGCUGCUGGGCACUGCUCCUCAGGACCGCAGAAAUCCAAAUCAGACUGUAAAGCUGGAUUAGAUUAUAACUCCAAAUCAGACUGUAAAUCUGGAUUAGAUUAUAAAUCUGAAUUAGAUUAUAACUCCAAAUCAGACUGUAAAUCUGAAUUAGAUUACAAAUCCAAAUCAGACUAUAAAUCUCAAUUAGAUUAUAACUCCAAAUCAGACUGUCAAUCAGGAUUAGAUUAGAAAUCCAAAUCAGACUAUAAAUCCAAAUUAGAUUAUAAAUCCAAAUCAAACUAUCAAUCUGAAUUCCAUUAUAAAUUUGAAUUAGAUUAUAAAUCUGAAUCAGACUAUCAAUCAGGAUUCAAUUAUAAAUCCAAACCAGACUAUCAAGGAAGAUUCAUUUGAGUUGGAGCCCCUGCCCACUUUCUGGGGGGGACUGGGGCCAUGAAGAGCCCUUAGGGAAGGAGGGGAGGGAAGCAGGUGGAGAUUUGAGGGCAGGCAGUGGGAUUUGGGUCUCUGGGUGAAGAUCACAGGGGAAGGAGGGGAUGGGGAGGGAAAGAAAAUGAAUUAAAUGUAUUAAUAAUUUAAUGAAUUAAAAAUGAGCUGGUGGGCCAGGAACGACCCCAGACCUUCAAGGGCCAACCCAGCUGCUGUCAGCACUCUGUACCCAGCCCCUGGCCCAGCCCAGCUGACAAAACCCCAUUUUGAAGGUAAAUCUGUGCUUUGCCGGCAGGGACAGCGGCUCCCCGGCAGGUGUGGCUGUACGCGGUGUAUCCCGGCGGGAUCAGCGCUCCCCGCUCCAGCCCAGGUGAGCCUCACUGCCCAGGAUGGGGGGAAAUUGCUGCUGCUGCUCCCCUUGGGGACCCCUCGGGCUGGGAACAGAGCACACCCUCCCACCCAGCACGGCAAGGAAAGGAUAAAAUGCAUUUAAUCAAUGUAUUGGUGUCAGACCCACCUCCAGCAGGUCUUUGCUCCCUGCACAGAGCCAGAACAGCCCAGAACCUCAUUUCCCAUCAGCAGAGGCACCUGUGGGAUCAUUGUCCCUUUCCAGUGCAGAAAAGCGAGGUUGUACCUGCAGAACUCACAAUAAGAUGUUGCAGAUAAACCAAAACACAGCAAAGAGCUUUUCCAGGGAGCAGCUGGGCAGAGCCAGCCUGCCCUUCCUAGCUGGAGUGGGAGGCACAGAGCCCUGGGAGGGACAUCUGCAGCUGGGUCAGUGUUGGGGAGGGUUUGGGGAAGGAAAACCUCAUUUGCAGCACUGGGGGUGGCUUUGGGUGCCCUCAGAGCUGGGCAGGAGGGUGAGGCCAAGCUGUGACACCAGAGCAGGGUCUGAGUGCCAGAACCAGCCCAGCACCAGCCCAGCACCAGCCCAGGCUGAGGGCCAGGGCUGGGUUUAAAUAGAGCCUGCCCAGGGGCCAGGUGGGGCUGGGCAGGACCAUCAAGGGCUGUCAGAGCCCAAAGUACCUGCAGGUGACACCUGAGAGUGUCCCCAGCUCCUGGCUCUGAUGCCACCUGAGAUGGGCCCUCUGUGGCUGCUCAGGGGUUUCUCCUGGGCCAGAGCAGCCCCGUGGCCCUGCAGCCGCCCCUGGAGCAGGGCAGCUGUUCCCAGGAAAUGCAAGCAGACAUUCCUGGCCCAGGAAAUGCAAGCAGACAUUCCUAGAUGGGUGUCCCAAGUUGGCCCUGGCUGUGGGUACUCAGGGCAGGGCUCUCCUCUGUGGCACCAAAUCAGGGACAAGGGAUCCCAAGGGAAUUGCUGAACUGGCCAGGAUCAGAGGGAAUUGCUGAACUGGCCUGGAUCAAAGCUGGCUGCUUAUCUCAGCAGAAAGAGGCUUCUUGCCAUGGCAGGGCCUCCAGCUGCAGAUCUUCCCCCACUGCAUGGAAAUAAUCAGGGAAUCCAUUCCCAAAGGGUGCAGGCACUUUGGGAAUCACAGAAUCCCACAAUGGGCUGGGUUGGGAGGGACUCAAAGCCCACCCAGUGCCACCCCUGCCAUGGCAGGGACACCUCCCACUGUCCCAGGGUGCUCCAGCCUGGCCUGGGACACUCCAGGGAUCCACAACUUCUCUGGAAAAGCUGUUAAAUAACCUGGGAGUGCUUGUGAAAAAUUAUAGAGCUCACCAGGGGGAAUAAAUCCUUGUUUAGGGUGCUGAGGGGAGGGAGG